rnacentral:rRNA from 1 species
UACGUAGGGGGCUAGCGUUGUCCGGAUUUAUUGGGCGUAAAGAGCGUGUAGGCGGCCAGGUAGGUCUGGUGUGAAAACUCGAGGCUUAACCUCGAGAUGUCAUCGGAAACCAUCUGGCUAGAGUCCGGAAGAGGAGAGUGGAAUUCCUGGUGUAGCGGUGAAAUGCGCAGAUAUCAGGAGGAACACCAAUGGCGAAGGCAGCUCGCUGGGACGGUACUGACGCUGAGACGCGAAAGCGUGGGGAGCGAACAGG